rnacentral:rRNA from 1 species
GACGUAGGAGGCGAGCGUUAUCCGGAUUCAUUGGGCGUAAAGGGCAAGUAGGCGGUUGUCAAAGUUGGGCGUGACAUCUCCUGGCUUAACUAGGAGGGGUCGUUCAAAACUAGGCGACUAGAGGGCAGAAGAGGAAAGCGGAACUCCUGAUGUAGCGGUGGAAUGCUCAGAUAUCAGGAAGAACACCAGUGGCGAAGGCGGCUUUCUGGUCUGCACCUGACGCUGAGAGGCGAAGGCCAGGGUAGCGAACGGGCUUAGAUACCCCCGUAGU